CACUCCUGCGGGAGGCAGCAGUGGGGAAUAUUGGACAAUGGGCGCAAGCCUGAUCCAGCCAUGCCGCGUGAGUGAUGAAGGCCCUAGGGUUGUAAAGCUCUUUCACCGGAGAAGAUAAUGACGGUAUCCGGAGAAGAAGCCCCGGCUAACUUCGUGCCAGCAGCCGCGGUAAUACGAAGGGGGCUAGCGUUGUUCGGAAUUACUGGGCGUAAAGCGCACGUAGGCGGAUCGAUCAGUCGGGGGUGAAAUCCCAGGGCUCAACCCUGGAACUGCCUUUGAUACUGUCGAUCUGGAGUAUGGAAGAGGUGAGUGGAAUUCCGAGUGUAGAGGUGAAAUUCGUAGAUAUUCGGAGGAACACCAGUGGCGAAGGCGGCUCACUGGUCCAUUACUGACGCUGAGGUGCGAAAGCGUGGGGAGCAAACAGGAUUAGAUACCCCUGUAGUCCCAUGA
rnacentral:rRNA from 1 species